UUUGAUGGCGACCGGCGCACGGGUGAGUAACACGUAUCCAACCUGCCGAUGACUCGGGGAUAGCCUUUCGAAAGAAAGAUUAAUACCCGAUGGCAUAGUUCUUCCGCAUGGUAGAACUAUUAAAGAAUUUCGGUCAUCGAUGGGGAUGCGUUCCAUUAGGUUGUUGGCGGGGUAACGGCCCACCAAGCCUUCGAUGGAUAGGGGUUCUGGGAGGAAGGUCCCCCACAUUGGAACUGAGACACGGUCCAA
rnacentral:rRNA from 1 species